rnacentral:rRNA from 1 species
GGCCAAGUUUUUAAGGGCGCACGGUGGAUGCCUUGGCACCAGGAACCGAUGAAGGACGUGGGAGGCCACGAUAGUCCCCGGGGAGUCGUCAACCAGGCUUUGAUCCGGGGGUUUCCGAAUGGGGAAACCCGGCAGUCGUCAUGGGCUGUCACCCGCUGCUGAACACAUAGGCAGUGUGGAGGGAACGCGGGGAAGUGAAACAUCUCAGUACCCGCAGGAAGAGAAAACAACCGUGAUUCCGGGAGUAGUGGCGAGCGAAACCGGAUGAGGCCAAACCGUAUGCGUGUGAGACCCGGCAGGGGUUGCGUAUACGGGGUUGUGGGAUCUCUCUUUCAUGGUCUGCCGGCCAUGAGACGAGUCAGAAACCGUUGAUGUAGGCGAAGGACAUGCGAAAGGUCCGGCGUAGAGGGUAAGACCCCCGUAGUCGAAACGUCAGCGGCUCGUUUGAGAGACACCCAAGUAGCACGGGGCCCGAGAAAUCCCGUGUGAAUCUGGCGGGACCACCCGCUAAGCCUAAAUAUUCCCUGGUGACCGAUAGCGGAUAGUACCGUGAGGGAAUGGUGAAAAGUACCGCGGGAGCGGAGUGAAAUAGUACCUGAAACCGUGUGCCUACAAGCCGUGGGAGCGUCGGAAUGAAGACUUGUCUUCAUUCUCGUGACUGCGUGCCUUUUGAAGAAUGAGCCUGCGAGUUUGCGGUGUGUUGCGAGGUUAACCCGGGUGGGGAAGCCGUAGCGAAAGCGAGUCCGAAUAGGGCGAUUUUAGUAGCACGCUCAAGACCCGAAGCGGAGUGAUCUAGCCAUGGGCAGGUUGAAGCGGAGGUAAGACUUCGUGGAGGACCGAACCCACCAGGGUUGAAAACCUGGGGGAUGACCUGUGGUUAGGGGUGAAAGGCCAAUCAAACUCCGUGAUAGCUGGUUCUCCCCGAAAUGCAUUUAGGUGCAGCGUCGUGUGUUUCUUGCCGGAGGUAGAGCACUGGAUAGGCGAUGGGCCCUACCGGGUUACUGACCUUAGCCAAACUCCGAAUGCCGGUAAGUGAGAGCGCGGCAGUGAGACUGUGGGGGAUAAGCUCCAUGGUCGAGAGGGAAACAGCCCAGAGCAUCGACUAAGGCCCCUAAGCGUACGCUAAGUGGGAAAGGAUGUGGAGUCGCACAGACAACCAGGAGGUUGGCUUAGAAGCAGCCACCCUUGAAAGAGUGCGUAAUAGCUCACUGGUCUAGUGAUUCCGCGCCGACAAUGUAGCGGGGCUCAAGCGUACCGCCGAAGUCGUGUCAUUGCAGCAUAUACGGCCAACGCCGGCUGUGAUGGGUAGGGGAGCGUCGUCUGCCGGGUGAAGCAGCACCGGAAGGUAGUUGUGGACGGUUGACGAGUGAGAAUGCAGGCAUGAGUAGCGAUUCACACGUGAGAAACGUGUGCGCCGAUUGACUAAGGGUUCCUGGGUCAAGCUGAUCUGCCCAGGGUAAGUCGGGACCUAAGGCGAGGCCGACAGGCGUAGUCGAUGGAUAACCGGUUGAUAUUCCGGUACCCGCUGUGAAGCGUCAAACAUCGAAUCCAGUGAUGCUAAGCCCGUGAAGCCGUUCCGGACCCUUCGGGGAAAGGAAAGUGGUGGAGCCGGUGACCCAAUCUGGUAGUAGGUGAGUGAUGGGGUGACGCAGGAAGGUAGUCCAGCCCGGGCGGUGGUUGUCCCGGGGUAAGGGUGUAGCCCGUCAUCUAGGUAAAUCCGGGUGACAUGAGGGUGAGACCUGAUGCCGAGCCGAUUGUGGUGAAGUGGAUGAUCCUAUGCUGUCGAGAAAAGCCUCUAGCGAGUUUCAUGGCGGCCCGUACCCUAAACCGACUCAGGUGGUCAGGUAGAGAAUACCGAGGCGUUCGGGUGAACUAUGGUUAAGGAACUCGGCAAAAUGCCCCCGUAACUUCGGGAGAAGGGGGGCCACAUCCGGUGAUGAGCUUUGCGCUCUGAGCUGGGGGUGGCCGCAGAGACCAGCGAGAAGCGACUGUUUACUAAAAACACAGGUCCGUGCGAAGCCGUAAGGCGAUGUAUACGGACUGACGCCUGCCCGGUGCUGGAACGUUAAGGGGACCGGUUAGUCACUCUUCGGGGUGGCGAAGCUGAGAACUUAAGCGCCAGUAAACGGCGGUGGUAACUAUAACCAUCCUAAGGUAGCGAAAUUCCUUGUCGGGUAAGUUCCGACCUGCACGAAUGGCGUAACGACUUCUCGACUGUCUCAACCAUAGGCCCGGUGAAAUUGCACUACGAGUAAAGAUGCUCGUUUCGCGCAGCAGGACGGAAAGACCCCGGGACCUUUACUACAGUUUGAUAUUGGUGUUCGGUUCGGCUUGUGUAGGAUAGCUGGGAGACUGUGAAGCGCUAACGCCAGUUAGUGUGGAGUCGUCGUUGAAAUACCAGUCUGGUCGUGCUGGAUGUCUAACCUGGGUCCGUGAUCCGGAUCAGGGACAGUGUCUGAUGGGUAGUUUAACUGGGGCGGUUGCCUCCUAAAGAGUAACGGAGGCGCCCAAAGGUUCCCUCAGCCUGGUUGGCAAUCAGGUGUUGAGUGUAAGUGCACAAGGGAGCUUGACUGUGAGACCGACGGGUCGAGCAGGGACGAAAGUCGGGACUAGUGAUCCGGCGGUGGCUUGUGGAAGCGCCGUCGCUCAACGGAUAAAAGGUACCCCGGGGAUAACAGGCUGAUCUUCCCCAAGAGUCCAUAUCGACGGGAUGGUUUGGCACCUCGAUGUCGGCUCGUCGCAUCCUGGGGCUGGAGUCGGUCCCAAGGGUUGGGCUGUUCGCCCAUUAAAGCGGUACGCGAGCUGGGUUUAGAACGUCGUGAGACAGUUCGGUCCCUAUCCGCUGUGCGCGUAGGAGUCUUGAGAAGGGCUGUCCCUAGUACGAGAGGACCGGGACGGACGAACCUCUGGUGUGCCAGUUGUUCUGCCAAGGGCAUGGCUGGUUGGCUACGUUCGGGAGGGAUAACCGCUGAAAGCAUCUAAGCGGGAAGCCUGCUUCGAGAUGAGGACUCCCACCUCCUAGAGAGGGUAAGGCUCCCAGUAGACGACUGGGUUGAUAGGCCGGAUAUGGAAGCACGGUAACGUGUGGAGUUGACCGGUACUAAUAGGCCGAGGGCUUGUCCUC